AACGAACGCUGGCGGCGCGCCUAAUACAUGCAAGUCAACUGAACUUGAGAUAGCAAUAUUUUAAGGGAGGUGGCGCACGGGUGAGUAACACGUAGGUAAUCUGCCUUUAGGACUGACAUAACCCAGAGAAAUCUGGGCUAAUAUCAGAUGAUGCAGCGGCUCGACAUCGAGACAGUUGUUAAACCUUCGGGGCCUAGAGAUGAGCCUGCGUCUGAUUAGGUAGUUGGCGGGGUAAUGGCCCACCAAGCCAUCGAUCAGUAGCUGGUCUGAGAGGAUGAUCAGCCACACUGGAACUGAGACACGGUCCAGACUCCUACGGGAGGCAGCAGUAAGGAAUAUUGCUCAAUGGCCGAAAGGCUGAAGCAGCAACGCCGCGUGGAGGAUGAAAUACUUUUGUAUGUAAACUCCUGUGAGAAGGGAAAAUAUGCAGAUUUUCUGCGUUGAUUGUACCUUCAGAGGAAGCCCC
rnacentral:rRNA from 1 species